rnacentral:rRNA from 1 species
UACGAAGGGGGCUAGCGUUGCUCGGAAUCACUGGGCGUAAGCGCACGUAGGCGGAUUGUUAAAUCAGGGGUGAAAUCCUGGAGCUCAACUCCAGAACUGCCUUUGAUACUGGCGAUCUCGAGUCCGGGAGAGGUGAGUGGAACUGCGAGUGUAGAGGUGAAAUUCGUAGAUAUUCGCAAGAACACCAGUGGCGAAGGCGGCUCACUGGCCCGGUACUGACGCUGAGGUGCGAAAGCGUGGGGAGCAAACAGG